CAAAUAAAACGCAAGCGAUAGUGUAUAAUAUAUAACAAUAAUAUAGUUGAAUAUAAUAGCGUAUAAUGUCGCUUAAACCAAAUAUAUGUUCACCCCUCGAUAUGCUCGUAGGGUCGCCGCACACGGGCUACUAGACACAUCCACAAUCGCCGACACUUGAAGCUAGAAGCGGCUACAAAAGAAGCUGACGCGCGAGACAGUCACUGGUAGUCCAUGUUGGACACUUGCGGUCGGUGGCCGCUACUUUCUUAACCUUCGAUCAACAAUAGUAACUAGAUUUCGGGUCGGUGCAUAAAAUCCGUCUCGUCAAAUAACAGCGCACUUGAAAUGUGAGCUGUUAUUUUGUUUAGUUCACUUCAAACACAGCCAAUGUCAACCCGUCUCACAAUACCGCAGUGUGUAUUCAAAAGUUGCAAAAAUAAGGCCCGAAAAAGCAAUUUAACGGCCGGAAUAUCUUACUUUCGCUUUCCUAGCAAUCACGUGUGCAGAAUGGAUCUCGAUUGUCGCCAGAGAAACAAGAGAUGACUUUUAUAAGCCAGCUAAGAUCUCCGCUUAUUGACACUGGACAUCUUUGCCUUCCGUGCUCACGGCUACUGAAACGUGGCCGAAACAUUGUAAUAAAAAUACCGCGCUUGAAACCGUUUAAA